GAUGAAGAACGCAGCGAAAUGCGACAAGUAGUGUGAAUUGCAGAAUUCAGUGAAUCAUCGAAUCUUUGAACGCACAUUGCGCCCCUUGGUAUCCCGAGGGGCAUGCCUGUUCGAGCGUCAUUUCACCACUCAAGCCUGGCUUGGUGUUGGGCGACGUCCUCUUUGGGGACGCGCCUCGAAACGCUCGGCGGCGUGGCACCGGCUUUAAGCGUAGCAGAAUCUUUCGCUUUGGAAGUCGGGGCCCCGUCUGCCGGAAGACCUGCUCGCAAGGUUGACCUCGGAUCAGGCAGGGAUACCCGCUGAACUUAAGCAUAUCAAUAAGCGGAGGA
rnacentral:misc_RNA from 1 species